rnacentral:snRNA from 1 species
GGAUGUGAGGGCGAUCUGGCUGUAACAUCUGUCAUCCCACUGACCACCAGGGUUGGUUCAGCUGAUCUGGCUAGCUAGGCGGGCGUUCCCCUCCUCCUGCACCACUCCAUGUGUGUGCCUCCUGAAGCUGCAUACUCGGUCAAAGAGGGCGACCACCCCCGCUAGAGAACAAUCCCUCAGUCAGGGGUCUACGAGUAGCUGUGCUCCCCGGCUAGAACUUACAAACAGGGUCUCAAGUUGUAAAUAUUAUACCAAAUAUAAUAAUACAAUAUUAAAUAAGAGAAAGAAGAGUAAAAAUCAUAUAAAAAUCCUAGUUACAACCAUGUAACAAAUUUUGUUUUUU